CUUGUAAACAUUCUAUAAAAGUACAAGGGAAACUUCAUAAAGAAUAUCCAAGUGUCCUUUUAAUAUAAUAGCCCUUUGUACUUUGAAAUGUUCAUAUGUGUACAAAAUAGAAUUAAGCAGAACAGACUGGAAGAACAGUCUUCGAGUCUUCUAGUAAUGGUGCCAUUAAAACAUUAUUUUGCAGUUUCUUAAGACUCAGAAGAUUAAGGUUUCUCACCCCGAGAUCAGUUCCACUUACAAAAAGCACUCUGGACCCAUAUUUAACCAACCGUCAGAAGGGAUUCAAAAGCAGGCUAAUUGAACACGCUGGUUUUGGAAACUCUGUAAUGAUGACCCGGGUUUUUUUUCUUGAAAACACCAACAAGGGCAGCUUGGCAGGAGGCAGGAAUUAGACAGGAGAAUUGAUUUGAGACCUGCCCUCCACACUGGAAGGAAAACUCCCCCGUAAGAAACGGUGAGGUUUGAAAUCACUGCAGGAUCUAUCAUUCACAUGGCCUCCAGCCUUAACGCAGGGCAUUUUCUCGCCACCGUAAUUCCCCAGGAACUGCCCUUCUCACAUGAGACAGAUCCACCUCUUGGAGGAAAGGAAACCCGCUCUAUCUGUUCAACCCGUCCUCUCCCUUCUGUGUCUGAGCCAUCGCCGGGUUCUCUCUGUGUUUUGCAAUCCCCUCCAUGGCUCCAAAGGCCAACAAAGUCUGUCUCCAGUGAGGGUACUGAGCCAAAAGCCCACACCACCUGACCGUAUUUUUCUCUUUCUUAGCCUUUUACCCGCUGACUUCACAUUUCUCGGGAGCAGGCCAGCUCGGGCAGACCUCCCCCGAAUAUAAAGUUCUGCAGGGGCAAGCUGGAGAACCACACAGGGGAGAUUUCACGAGGAGCCCCGUCUGACGUUUUCUGCCUGAAUCCUUGGGCCUCGCUCCAGCCUACAAAGGCAAGUGGCAGGAAACUAACAGCCAUAAUCAAAUGAGCUCAGCCAGCCGGGAGUCUCUUUUGCAAGGGGAUCACAGGCAUUCUGCCCGGCAGAACCUAGAGAGAGAGAGAGAACCUCUGUCCUGAAAUCUCUGAAGUUUCCUGCCAGCAUGCAUUUUCCCUUGGGCAACAUCAGAUGAGAACAUCAUUUCAUUUGCAUCGCAGGGGAGACGGAGAGACAAACAGAAAGCAGAGAGACAAACAGAAAAUCAGAGGCAGCAUUCUGCUUGGACACCUCCAAGAAUUCAACUGCCUUCAACAAAUUCUAUCAAAUCCCUACUGUGUGCCAGGCACUAGGAUACGAGGAGGACUUGUCAGCAAUGCUGGAUUGCCCAGUGUGCAGACGAGACCCUCACUUAAAAGUCCAGAAAGCAUGGCUGAGAGAGAGCAGAAUGUUCUGGGCACAAAGAACAGCAGGGAGGUUGUCCUGAGGCAACACCCAGUUUGGUGCAUCUGAGGGACUGAAAAGUGCCCACUGCUUCAGUGAAGCUGAAAGGGUCGUGAGAUCGUGGGGAUUAUUAUUCAGAAAAUGAGCCUCCCCGACUCCUGCUUUGGGUGGAAUACACUUCCCUGCACCAUGGACGUUGGACUCGGCUGUGUGACUUUGUUGGCUAAUAGGCCGUUAGCCAGCGUGAGUCCGGCAGGCCUUGAGGUGUGUUUGCAUGGCAGCUCGUGCUCAUUCGCAUUUCCGACAUCGCCACGAGGGGUGUAUAUGCCCGUGUAUCCAAGGAGGAUGCACACGCCCGGAGCAGACUGCAUGUGCCCCACUACUGCGAGCCCAGCCUAGAGCAGUCUCAAUCAUCUGAACGCCUACCAACUUGCAGAUGUUUGUGUGAGAUUAAAUAAUCACUGUUUUAAGCCAAUGAGCUGGGGGAUGAUUUGUUACAUGGCAUCAUUAUGGCAAUAGUUGACUGAUGUAGGCCUUCUAGGUGUUAAUCCGGCCACGGCCAGACCAGUACAGUUACUAAAUUGCAGGGGGCGGGGGCGGGGGAAGCAUAUGUAAUUUUAAAAGAUCCUUCAAAAACUUGUCUUCCUGCUUUGACUUUGUUAUGUAAAUCAAAGUCAAUUAUAGCCUUUCAGGCACUAAAUGAAAUUUGAUGGCCAUAAGGCUUCAAUGAAGCGGCAUAUGGUUAAAGAAUAAAAGAGGUCUAAGGUACUCAUGUAUUUAUCCAGCACUAGAUAAAGCCUUCAUCCACAAAGGCUUUAUCCAGAAAAAUGGUUCGCUCAUUAAAGAGACGUUCGUGGGUUCUUUUGUACGACGCCUUGUAGUUACAGUGUUGAGUCAAGUGCUUACCCUAGGCCAAGCACGGUUCCUAGUGCUUUGCCUACAUCAGCUUCUUUGACCCUCAAAAUUUGAUGUUGUAGUCACUGUUGAUUAUCUCCAACUGACAGAUAAGAAAAGUGAGGAACCAAGAGAAUAACGACUUAUCCAAGCUCCAUGACUUGGGAUUUAAUAAGAAGACAAACCAAUCUUUACAAACCACGGCAGGACCGGGAUGGAAAAAAACAAAAACAACAACAAAAAACACACACACACAAAACGGGGAAGUCUGGUUAAGACCAACAGAGAGGACCUGUUUUAGACAGGAGACCAGAGAGGGCUUCUCCAGUUAGGUGAAGUUGUCUGAGAGAUGAAAAUGAUCACACACCAAAAAAUGGCUGGGAGAAAGAAGAAUGUUCUGGGGACAAACAACAGCAGGGAGGUUGUCCUGAGGCAGCACCCAGUUUGGUGCGUCUGAGGGACUGAAAAGUGCCCGCUGCUUCAGUGAAGCUGAAAGGAGAGAGACAGAGCACGAAUGGGGGAAGGUCAGAGAGAGAGGGAGACACAGAAUCUGAAACAGGCUCCAGGCUCUGAGCUGUCAGCACAGAGCCCGACGCGGGGCUCGAACUCACGGACCGCGAGAUCGUGACCUGAGCCGAAGUCGGACGCCCAACUGACUGAGCACCCAGGCGCCCCUGUAUUCUUUUUAUCAAGGAAAGCUUCCAAACUUCCAGGCUGGCAAAGCUGGAAGCAGCCCUGAUUAAACACCUACCGUGUGAGCCAAGCACAGCUCGAUGCUAGAACAGACGAUGUGUCCGCAGAUUCACUGACGCGCUCCUGCUCCAAAAGGCACAAGGCAUUUGCUUUCCCUUGGAAUGUAGGCUGGACCUGAUAAUUUGUUUCUGGCGAGAGGCAUAUUGUGCAGGUGGUGACGCUGGGUGACACUGAAGACCGGUGGGGAAAUACUGCCAUUUCCCCCGCGCUCCUUCCUUCUGGAAGCCAGUGGCCAUGUCAUCAGAACACUCCAGCAGCACACGGAAAGGAGCAGAGCCUUCCAGCCAACCGCCAUGCGAGGGUGCGAUCUUCGAAAGAGACCCUCCAACUUUACCCAGUCGAGCCUUCGGGACGCUGGCAGCUUCGGCCAACGUCUUGACCGCUUGUGAGAGGCCGUGGGCGAGACCCAUCCAUUCAAACUGCUCUCGGGGAUUCCCGGCCCCAGAAACCGCGUGCGAUGAGAGAUGCUUGUGAUGUGAAGUUGCCACAGUUGGGGGGCAACCCGUUACCCAGCGAGCAAUAAAGAAUAUGCUGACACAAGUCUUGGCUUUAGGACUCUCACCUUCUGAUGUUUAAUAGGCGUGGAAUAAAUGUGUUUUUGAGAAAGAGAUGAAGAACAAGAAGCCAAAGAAAUGUAGCAAAUUAUCAUUAACUGUUCAUUCGCUUAUCAGAUAUUUACUGAGCAGUGCCAUAUGUUUAUCUAUGUUCCAGGCAUCAAGCUAGAAUAAUAAGCGGGAAAGACAUAACAGCGCCCCCCGUCAUGGAGCUUCCAGUCUGGAAGAAGAAGAAAGUUUCUGUCCUGUGUCUGAUGCCUACUCACCGCAGGACCCUGAAGUCAAGUUUCCCUUCCCAGAUAAUAUGCAUUAUCUCAUCGAAUCCUCAUGAUAGCCCCCUUCCUCUCACCCACACCCACCCUGCAGCCCUCCCCAGGCUCUCCUGCAACUUGGCAACGUGACACAAUUCAGACCAGCGACCCACAGGCAGGAGAUCGCUGGGCAGAUCCGCUGUCUUCGGAAGGACGCGCUCUCUGGAGAGGGCUGCGAGUUAUCCAUCCUGCGAAUGUCAGGAAGGGCCAAGGGAGCAGCUGAGCUCUGACAUUCUUACGCCAUCGAAACAGAAUAGUAACU